GACGAACGCUGGCGACCGGCGCACGGGUGAGUAACACGUAUCCAACCUGCCCUUCAGAGGGGGACAACAGUUGGAAACGACUGCUAAUACCGCAUACUGAAGGAGGGGAUUGCGUCUGAUUAGCUAGUUGGAGGGGUAACGGCCCACCAAGGCGCUGAUCAGUAGCCGGUCUGAGAGGAUGAACGGCCACAUUGGGACUGUGAUACGGCCCAGACUCCUACGGGGGGCAGCAGUGGGGAAUCUUCCGCAAUGCACGAAAGUCUGACGGAGCAACGCCGCGUGAUGGAUGACGGCUUUCGGGUUGUAAAGCUCUGUUAAUCGGGACGCGGUACCGGAAUAGAAAGCCACGGCUAACUACGUGCCAGCCGCCGCGGUAAUUC
rnacentral:rRNA from 1 species